rnacentral:rRNA from 1 species
UACGUAGGGUCCGAGCGUUGUCCGGAAUUAUUGGGCGUAAAGAGCUCGUAGGCGGUUUGUUGCGUCGGCCGUGAAAACCUGCAGCUUAACUGUGGGCCUGCGGCCGAUACGGGCAGACUUGAGUUCGGUAGGGGAGACUGGAAUUCCUGGUGUAGCGGUGAAAUGCGCAGAUAUCAGGAGGAACACCGAUGGCGAAGGCAGCUCGCUGGGACGGUACUGACGCUGAGGCGACGAAAGCGUGGGGAGCAAACAGG